rnacentral:misc_RNA from 1 species
GAUGAAGAACGCAGCGAAAUGCGAUAAGUAAUGUGAAUUGCAGAAUUCAGUGAAUCAUCGAAUCUUUGAACGCACAUUGCGCCCGCCAGUAUUCUGGCGGGCAUGCCUGUUCGAGCGUCAUUUCAACCAUCAAGCCCUGCUUGCGUUGGGGUCCUGCGGCUGCCCGCAGGCCCUGAAAACCAGUGGCGGGCUCGCUAGUCACACCGAGCGCAGUAAUACAUCUCGCUUUGGGCGUGCGGCGGGUUCUUGCCGUUAAACACCCCCUUUUUACCAAGGUUGACCUCGGAUCAGGUAGGAAUACCCGCUGAACUUAAGCAUCUCAAUAAGCGGAGGA